rnacentral:lncRNA from 1 species
UUUUUUUUUUUUUCCUUUUUUUCUUAAGUUUCAAAACUAGGUUUUGGGUCACUAAUGGCUUGUAUUGUAUCUUAUCUACAAUAAACUCAGCAUAUAUUUUUGUUUUAGGAAUGUGUAAGGCAUUUUGGUAAGUUGAACGGUACGUUCUAGGUCACAGACUCAUCAAACUGAAGUCCCUUCCUUUGAACUGUCCUCUUCCCCCUGGAGAAGGAGAACAGAGGUGAGUUACUCAGCUGGGUCCCAACCUUAUUCUCGCUGUAGGAUAAAGCAGAUGGGCCACAUCUCCCUUUGUGGGCAGGGAGAACGGUGACCACCACCCACCACAGCCCCAGGCAUUGCCCAAUGCCAGCCAGAUGGUUUCUGGCAGUAGGAUCCCCACUGCAUCCCAUUUUAAAUCACCACAUGACACACACUCCUGCAACCUCCACCAGUGGCAGAAGGGAUGGCCAACUGCCACAGCUGGGCCGUCUGUCCCGGUGCUGGGAACAAGUACCUUUUCAUGAAGUUGUUCUUUCAACUUCUUCACCGUUUCUCUCUCUUUGGCCAGUUGGUCCUGGGUAACCUUCAGUAGCUCCUGUAGUUUGGUUGCUGCCUGGCCCAAGUCCCUUGUUAGCUUUUUUUCUUUUUCAAGUCUUUCCUUGAGAUGCUGGGCCUCCUCCAUGUCCGAAGCUGCUGCAUUUUCAGCCAGUCUCAACUUCUCCAGCUCUGCUUGCAAGCUGCACGCUGAGCUUUGUGCCUCCUCCAGCUCCCGCGUCAGCUUUUGCCUCAGCUCUUGCUCCUUCUCCAUCAG